CCUACGGGAGGCAGCAGUAGGGAAUAUUGCACAAUGGGGGAAACCCUGAUGCAGCGACGCCGCGUGGAUGAAGAAGGCUUUCGGAUUGUAAACUUCUUUCGGUAGAGAAGAAUAUGACGGUAUCUAACGAAUAAGCACCGGCUAACUCCGUGCCAGCAGCCGCGGUAAUACGGAGGGUGCAAGCGUUAAUCGGAAUCACUGGGUGUAAAGGGAGCGUAGGCGGGGGCAUAAGUCAGGUGUGAAAUCCCGGGGCUUAACCACGGAACUGCAUUUGAAACUGUGUCUCUGGAGUGCUGGAGAGGUAAGUGGAAUUCUUAGUGUAGGGGUGAAAUGCGUAGAGAUGAGGAGGAAUACUCAUGGCGAAGGCGGCCUACUGGAACGUUACUGACGCUGAUGCACGAAAGCGUGGGGAGCAAACAGGAUUAGAUACCCGAGUAGUC
rnacentral:rRNA from 1 species